rnacentral:rRNA from 1 species
UACGUAGGGUGCAAGCGUUGUCCGGAAUUACUGGGCGUAAAGAGUUCGUAGGCGGUUUGUCGCGUCGUUUUGUGAAAACCAGCAGCUCAACUGCUGGCUUGCAGGCGAUACGGGCAGACUUGAGUACUGCAGGGGAGACUGGAAUUCCUGGUGUAGCGGUGAAAUGCGCAGAUAUCAGGAGGAACACCGGUGGCGAAGGCGGGUCUCUGGGCAGUAACUACGUGAGGAACGAA